CAGUCGUACCUGCGGGUAAUCAGCCUUUUGGGCAUGAUUCUGUGGAGCGUGAGGAGUUAAACGCCUUCAUGCCUGCAUAUUCGUGUACUUUGGGUGUACCUGCCUGUGUGGUUAGUUAACAUCAAUUUUGGUUAUCAUAAAAUGGCUGGAGGAAUGUAGCUUCGAUCUCGUAUUGAAGUGUUAAUAGUCUUCGGCAGAUGUGAUGAGUCGGGAUUGGAGGAUUGCAACGGACUACCCGUUCGGGGCCUACCC
rnacentral:rRNA from 1 species